AACUGAUGAACUAUGUUGAAUGAGUCUUUCUUUCCAUGACCCCAUUGAUGUGAAAACUCUUUAAACUUAUGUUGAAUCACUUGCAGUGGGUUAUAUUCAUGUUUGAGAAUUGCCUUUUGAAUUGAAUCUUUGAGUUUGCCAUGGUGAAAAAUAUAUUGAUGACCCUCAAUUGAUUGAGAAAAAAUUGAAAUUGUGUGAAUGAACCUAAUGUGACUUGAUUUAGCAAUUGGUGUUGAUUUGCCCAAAUCAUUGAGAGAAAGAAAAUUCAGCAAAGGCAAAGACCUCAAAAGCAC
rnacentral:lncRNA from 1 species